rnacentral:rRNA from 1 species
GAUGAACGCUGGCGGUGUGCCUUAAGCAUGCAAGUCGAACGGCAGCACGGGUGCUUGCACCUGGUGGCGAGUGGCGAACGGGUGAGUAAUACAUCGGAACGUACCUUAUCGUGGGGGAUAACGCAGCGAAAGCUGUGCUAAUACCGCAUACGCCCUGAGGGGGAAAGCGGGGGAUCGAAAGACCUCGCGCGAUUAGAGCGGCCGAUGCCUGAUUAGCUUGUUGGUGGGGUAAAAGCCCACCAAGGCGACGAUCAGUAGCUGGUCUGAGAGGACGCUCAGCCACACUGGGACUGAGAGACGGCCCAGACUCCGACGGGAGGCAGCAGUGGGGAAUUUUGGACAAUGGGGGGAACCCUGAUCCAGCAAUGCCGCGUGAGUGAAGAAGGCCUUCGGGUUGUAAAGCUCUUUUGUCAGGGAAGAAACACCGGCUCUAACACAGUCCGGGAAUGACGGUACCUGAAGAAUAAGCACCGGCUAACUACGUGCCAGCCGCCGCGGUAA